rnacentral:rRNA from 1 species
UAGGGAAUCUUCGGCAAUGGACGAAAGUCUGCCCGAGCAACGCCGCGUGAGUGAAGAAGGUUUUCGGAUCGUAAAACUCUGUUGUUAGAGAAGAACAAGGACGUUAGUAACUGAACGUCCCCUGACGGUAUCUAACCAGAAAGCCACGGCUAACUACGUGCCAGCAGCCGCGGUAAUACGUAGGUGGCAAGCGUUGUCCGGAUUUAUUUGGCGUAAAGCGAGCGCGGGCGGUGUCUUAAGUCUGAUGUGAAAGCCCCCGGCUCAACCGGGGAGGGUCAUUGGAAACUGGGAGACUUGAGUGCAGAAGAGGGGAGUGGAAUUCCAUGUGUAGCGGUGAAAUGCGUAGAUAUAUGGAGGAACACCAGUGGGGAAGGCGGCUCUCUGGUCUGUAACUGACGCUGAGGCUCGAAAGCGUGGGGAGCAAACAGG